rfam:Defluviitoga tunisiensis isolate L3 genome assembly, chromosome: I
GUCAAUUACUCACCGCCCCUAGAGGCGGGGGCUGUAGAAAUACAAGCUCGGUUGAUUAGCCUAUGUCAUUAGCUUUUGCUAAUGAUUAGUUAUAGCAGAAUAUAUAGUCACCGUGGGAUGCUCCACAAGUCCCAUGCUCUGAGGGUAAUGGUUAAACAUCUCUGAGGGGUAGGAGAAGUGCUGUUACCAUUAAACCUGCUAUAACAUUGGCGAUGUGGACCUAC